CUUAUUGGCGAAGGCCCCUGGCCUUCAAGGGUGUUAUUUCGAACUUAUCGUAAUAAUAACCAUCUUCGUUCGAUCGAGGUCAAACUCUUCUUUUUGGCGAAGGCCCCUAGCCUUCAAGGGUGUUAUUUCGAACUUAUCGAAAUAUUAAGCCGUCGUCGUUCGAUCGAGGUUGAACUCUUGUUUUUAGCUAAGGCCCCAGGCCUUAAUGCGUGUUAUUUCGAAUUUAUCGAAAUAGUAACCCGUUAUCGUUCGAUCGAGAUAGAACUCUUUUUUUUUGCGAAGGCCCUUGGCCUUAAAGGGUGAUAUUUCGAACGUAUCGAAAUAGUAAUCCAUCUCCGUUCGAUCGAGGUCAAACACUUCUUAUUGGCGAAGGCCCCUAGCCUUCAAGGGCGUUAUUUCGAACUUAUCGAAAUAUUAAGGCGUCGUCGUUCGAUCGAGAUCGAACUCUUCUUUUUGGCAAAAGCCCCUGGCCUUAAAGGGUGUUAUUUCGAACUUAUAAAAAUAGUAACCCGUCGUCGUUCGAUCGAGGUCGAACUCUUCUUCCCUGGCCUUUAAGGGUGUUAUUUCGAGCUUAUCGAAAUAGUCACCCGUCGUCGUUCGAUAGAAGUUGAACUCUUCGUUUUAGCGAAGGCCCCUGGCCUUCAAGGGUGUUAUUUUUAACAUAUCGAAAUAGUUACCCGUCGUCUUUUGAUCGACGUCGAACUCUUGUUUUUGGCGAAGGCCCCUGCCCUUAAAGGGUGUUAUUUUGAACUUAUCAAAAUAGAAACCCAUCGUCGUUCGAUCGGGGUCGAACUCUUCUUUUUGGCGAAGGCCCCUAGCCUUCAAGAGUGUUAUUUCGAACUUAUCGAAAGAGUAACCUGUCGUCGUUCGAUCGAGGUCUAACUCUUCUUCCCUGGCCUUACAGGGUGUUAUUUCGAGCUUAUCGAAAUAGUCACCCGUCGUCGUUCGAUAGAAGUUGAACUCUUCGUUUUAGCGAAGUCCCCUGGCCUUCAAGGGUGUUAUUUUUAACAUAUCUAAAUAGUUACCCGUCGUCUUUUGAUCGACGUCGAACUCUUGUUUUUGGCGAAGGCCCCUGGCCUUAAAGGGUGCUAUUUUGAACUUAUCAAAAUAG
rnacentral:lncRNA from 1 species